AUAAAAUUGAGCAAAUCAAAUCACAUUUUAUUUGUCACGUGCGCCGAAUACAACAGUGAAAUGCUUAUUUACAAGCCCUUAACCAACAGUGCUUUAAGAGGUUAAAAAUAAGUGUUAAAUAAAAAAUAGAUUAGUAAAAAAAAAUAAUAAUUAAACAGCAGCAUUGAAAUAACAAUAGCGAGGCUAUAUACAGGGUAUUACGGGACAGAGUCAAUGUGGAGGCUAUAUACAGGGGGUACCGGUACAGAGUCAAUGUGGAGGCUAUAUACAGAGUAUUACGGUACAGAGUCAAUGUGGAGGCUAUAUACAGGGAGCCGGUACAGAGUCAAUGUGGAGGCUAUAUACAGGGUAUUACGGGACAGAGUCAAUGUGGAGGCUAUAUACAGGGUAUUACGGUACAGAGUCAAUGUGGAGGCUAUAUACAGAGUAUUACGGUACAGAGUCAAUGUGGAGGCUAUAUACAGGGAGCCGGUACAGAGUCAAUGUGGAGGCUAUAUACAGGCUAUUACGGUACAGAGUCAAUGUGGAGGCUAUAUACAGGGGGUACCGGUACAGAGUCAAUGUGGAGGCUAUAUACAGGGAGUACCAGUGCAGAGUCAAUGUGGAGGCUAUAUACAGGAGGUACCGGUACAGAGUCAAUGUGGAGGCUAUAUACAGGGUAUUACGGUACAGAGUCAAUGUGGAGGCUAUAUACAGGGAGGUACCGGUACAGAGUCAAUGUGGAGGCUAUAUACAGGGUAUUACGGUACAGAGUCAAUGUGGAGGCUAUAUACAGGGGGUACCGGUACAGAGUCAAUGUGGAGGCUAUAUACAGGGUAUUACGGUACAGAGUCAAUGUGGAGGCUAUAUACAGGGUGUUACGGUACAGAGUCAAUGUGGAGGCUAUAUACAGGGUAUUACGGUACAGAGUCAAUGUGGAGGCUAUAUACAGGGUGUAAUGGUACAGAGUCAAUGGGGAGGCUAUAUACAGGGUAUUAUGGUACAGAGUCAAUGUGGAGGCUAUAUACAGGGGGUACCGGUACAGAGUCAAUGUGGAGGCUAUAUACAGGGUGUAAUGGUACAGAGUCAAUGGGGAGGCUAUAUACAGGGUAUUAUGGUACAGAGUCAAUGUGGAGGCUAUAUACAGGGGGUACCGGUACAGAGUCAAUGUGGAGGCUAUAUACAGGCGGUACCGGUACAGAGUCAAUGUGGAGGCUAUAUACAGGGUGUUACGGUACAGAGUCAAUGUGGAGGCUAUAUACAGGGUGUUACGGUACAGAGUCAAUGUGGAGGCUAUAUACAGGGUGUUACGGUACAGAGUCAAUGUGGAGGCUGUAUACUACUGUUAUCUCCUACUGCUCUCUCUGGGGUUCCUGGAAGACCAGCCUGACAGCAGCCAACACAGGACAAAUUGCACCGCGGGAAAAGGAAAUAAGACUCUCUCACUCACUACUACUUACAGGCUGUAAAUUAAGUUUUGAUGUUACAUAAAGCUCAGCCUAAAUUCUUAGGCGUACACUGAACUAAAUUGAGAAGCCCAUGCUGAUACAUGCUAACGUUGAGUAUCUGAACCUGGUGGUUUUGACUGGACUCUUUUUUAUAAGCCUAGUGUGAGGUCUUUUUGUUGUUGUUGUGGACGUUUAGGUCGUCUGCGUCACGUGGAAUAUUCUCUCUGUAGCAGUGACAGAGUAGAGGAGCAGUUCUUUAGUGUUUUCCACUGUUCAGAGAGCCACUAUCUUGGACAUCAUGAACACAGUGUUCCAGGAGUCUGUACAUAAUCAGCCUGUGGCUUUAUUAGACCACAGGCAACCAGAUACCAGCUCUGUACAUCACAGGCUCGCUACUGUAAUUGUGUUAUUUCCCGAUUUUGUGUUUCUCUCUCUCUGUCUCUCUCUCUGUCUCUUCCUCUCUCUGUUUCUCUCUCUCUCUUCUGCUCUCUGUUUCUCUCUGUCUCUCUCUCUCUGUCUCUCUCUCUCUGUUUCUCUCUCUUCCAAAUAAAAUCCAUCAAAGUUUAUUGGUCGAGUAUACAGAUUCACAGAUGAUUAUUGCCGUUGCAGUGAAAUGGUUAUACUCCAAUAGUGCAGUAAUAUUCCAUAACGUUAUUGAAAUACCAGAACUAGCAAAGUCAGUGUCCGGAAUAUAAAUAAAUGUGUUUAUUCACAGUGCAUUCGAAAAGUAUUCAGACCCCUUGACAUUUUCCACGUUUUGUUAUGUUACAGCCUUAUUCUGAAAUGGUUUUAUUUUUUUAUAAUCCCUCAUAAAUCUACACACAAUACCCCCAUAAUAACAAAGAAAAAACAGUUAAAAAACCCCUGAAAUAUCACAUUUCCAUAAGUAUUCAGACCCUUUACUCAGUACUUUGUUGAAGCACCUUUGGCAGCGAUUACAGCCUUGAGUCUUCUUGGGUAUGACGCUUCAAGCUUGGCACACAUGUAUUUGUGGAGUUUCUCCCAUUCUUCUCUGCAGAUCCUCUCAAGAUCUGUCAGGUUGGAUGGGGAGUGUCGCUGCAGAGCUAUUUUCAGGUCUCUCCAGAGAUGUUCGAUCGGGUUCAAGUCCGGGCCACUCAAGGACAUUCAGAGACUUGUCCCGAAGCCACUCCUGCGUUGUUCUUGGCUGUGUGCUUAGGGUCGUUGUCCUGUUAGAAGGUGAACCUUCACCCCAGUCUGAGGUCCUGAGUGCUCUGGAGCAGGUUUUCAUCAAGGAUCUCUCUGUACUUUGCUCCAUUCAUCUUUCCCUUGAUCCUGACUAGUCUCCCAGUCCCUGCCACUGAAAAACAUCCCCACAGCAUGAUGCUGCCACCACCAUGCUUCACCGUAGGGUUGGUGCCAGGUUUCCUCCAGAUGUGACGAUUGGUAUUCAGGCCAAUGGGUUCAAUCUUGGUUUCAUCAGACCAGACAAUCUUGUUUCUCACGGUCUGAGAGUCUUUAGGUGCCUUUUGGCAAACUCCAAGCGGGCUGUCAUGUGCCUUUACCUGAGGAGUGGCUUCCAUCUGGCCACUCUACCAUAAAGGCCUGAUUGGUGGAGUGCUGCAGAGGUGGUUGUCCUUCUGGAAGGUUCUCCCAUCGCCACAUAGGAACUCUGGAGCUCUGUCAGAGUGACCAUCGGGUUCUUGGUCACCUCCCUGACCAAUGCCCUUCUCCCCCGAUCGCUCAAUUUGGCCGGGCGGCCAGCUCUAGGAAGAGUCUUCGUGGUUCCAAACUUCUUCCAUUUAGUCUAGGACCCAGUUGCACAGGGAGGGGUUCAGUCGAAAGGGAGUUUAGUGAUGAGCUUGAGGGACACUACGGUGUUGAUAACCCAGCUGUAGUCGAUGAACAGCAAGUCUCACAUAGGUAUUACUCUUGUUGAGGUGGGAAAGUGUGCAAAGCAUGUGGCUAUUACAUGGCCUGUGGAUCUGUUGACAAUCACUGGUCAUUUACAGGGCUUGACAACCACUAGUCAUUUACAGGGCUCGACAAUCACUGGUCAUUUACAGGGCUUGACAAUCACUAGUCAUUUACAGGGCUUGACAAUCACUGGUCAUUUACAGGGCUUGAC
rnacentral:lncRNA from 1 species